UCGAUCUCCUUCCGUGCGGCAGUCGGCAGGCAGCCGGUCAACGACGACCCGCUACUGGCCCGCCGCCAUACUUGGCCCAACCGUCAGUGACCGACAGCCGCUAGAUUUCAGCCCGCGCACCGCGCGCGUUGUCCACAGGAGGCCCACGGCACCAGAGCCCUCCUCCUCCGGCCUCCCUUCCACCCCUCUCCGACCCGAAGGCGUGCGGUGCAUGCACAUGCCGGCGACCGCCGCGCCGCCCGUGCGGCCGCCUUCUCCUCACCCUCCGCCGAGCCGCCCCUCCUGGAGGCUUCCGGAAGCCCCUUCCGGGCCCGUCCCGGCGGGCGCCAGGGCUCCGGCUCGUCGCUCCCACGGCCUCCACGGUCGACUCGCCGGGAGCUCCUCCGACUUCGCCAAGCGCAUCGAGCGCGCCUGGCUCAUCUCCCAGCAACCAAGACCAAUUUCUUGUUCAUCUCGUCAAUCUGCUGGCCAUGUGGAGUGCAAGUGGUGUGCGGGCACUGGCUUCUUUAUCCUUGGCAACAUGUUGUGUGAAGUACCCUAAAAAAAUACAAAAUGUGUGAUAUGCUCUGGAAAGGGCUUUGCGACUUGUGCUGAUUGCAAAGGGACUGGGUUUUGUCACACCUGGUUUUAAGAUCAAACCGAAUGUAGACUACAUGUAUGCCAGAAUCAAGUUACAUACACGUAGUGACGUCAUAAGCAAUCAAGCGAAAAGUCGUCUGCCUAGAACUCAGCUCCAUCUUUUGGGAAGUCCUCGCAGUAUUCGUCUUCUGAGUAGCAACAAGAUUAUGGAGAGAGAGUAAGCAUGAGUGUAUGUAAUACUUAGCAAGUGUGAGAAAGUAUGCAUGAGGGUCAAAAGUCAAGAUAGGCUUAACUCAGGGGUUUAUUUGCAUAAAUACUGUUUUAGGAGUAAAAUAGAUAUAAAAGCAAUCUAUUUUCUAUGUGAAUGAUUCUUUAAGACCUGAGCCAAGGUUCUAACCACCUUGCUCUCCAAGCGAGGUUCCAAUCACCUCUAAACGAAGCUAAUUUGAAUCACAGUUCCCACCACUGUGAUUUACCAGAUCCAACCCAAAACCAACCUGGAAACCACUCAACUAAUCAUGUGAGGAGUCGAUGCCGCUCAUGAUCGUGAGCACAACUGAUAUAUCAGUUUUUACUAUGCAAAGAUUGUAUACUUUACCCAUAAGACGUGUCUUCCUAUUUUGCUGAGUACUUGUUGGCCGACGGACGACUCUUACACACUUUAGAGGUGUGCGCUAGGAAUCCAUUGUAAAGUCUUCCAACGUCUUUCUCAGCAUGUGCCGAUCCGCUUAGGUUUCACCACCGUACGUAAGUGGAGUACACCCUCCACCUCAGAAGCCACCUCUUGCGCCUUACGGUUCUAGGAAGUACACCAUUCUAUUCCCAUACCCCCAAAUGACCUUCACAAUGCUAAGAGGAUAGCAAAUUACUCGGUCAGACCCAUCCAUACCAGGCUUAUGGUUGUACAGUUUUCAUAGGUGGUCGCUCCACGAAACGGUCCUUAAUAUAGUCUGGGCAAGACCGUCAGCAUCCAACAUGGGGAGAUAACCUAUAUUCGAUAAAGCCAACAUUCUUGCCUGGAACACAUCCACAGGCCAACCUACAUGCCAACUUGCUCAGUCUCUACUUUCCAAGUCUAAACAUUUUACCCAAGUUUAACAUUAUUAACCAAAACCCAUUUUUCCUAUACUACCCAUGAGUAAGCACAACUAAGCAUUUUCUGCCCAGAACAUGACAACUAGACUACGGCUACAAGGAAGGUUACGGAAAACUAGUAAACCCUAACAAUAUGACGAGCAUGCAAUCUGUAAAAUAAAACUUUAUAAAAAUAGAUGUAAAAUGUUCAAUGAUAUUUGCCUUCUCCGUUGAGUUGCUCGAAAUCCCCGAAGCCUUGAUCCUGGAUGUUCUCAAACGCCUCCAGACAUACUCCUCUAUAAGCGAGCAAACACAUAAAUCAAACACUAGAACAAGUUAGAGCACGAUUUAGGAAGAUUUGAGCGCAAGAACCGCCCAAAUCAGAGCAACGGUGCGAAAACUACGGCUAAAUGAAUUUUUAAAUGAUUAAAAACGACAAAAAACUAUUUUAUGGAAUUAAACCUAAUUUUUAAAAGGAUUAAAACAUUUAUUCAAAAUUUUCUAGAAUUAUUUUAUAGCAUAAAACUGAUUAAAACAAUUUUAUGUAAUUUAUUUGCAUUUUUCUGGAAAUAAACUAAUUUUUAUAUGCAUCAGAACAAAUUAAAAACAUUUAUUUUAUCAAAGAAUACAUUUUUAAACAUUAUUAGAAUUAAUAUAUAUUUUCUAAACUAUUUUCCAAAAUAAAAACAUUUAUUCUAACCUUAAACUAUUUUUCAGAAAUAAAACAGAAUUAAAAAUCUAUUAAAAACAUAUUAAAUUUUUUUUAUAUAAACUAUUUUCUAUUUUCUGGAAUUUUUCUAAUAAAGAAAACCUAUUUUCCAAAUAUUCAGAUUAUCACGAAUUAGUUUUCUAAAGAAAAAUCCGGAUUAUCGCGUAACGCUGACGUCAACGGCUGACUAGGCAUGCUGACUUGGCUCUGAUUUGCUGUCUGGACUGCCACAUAGGACAAAGACGCCUACAUGGCCGCACACGUGGCACACUGACUAGGCCGAAGGCUAUUUAAAUCAUGUGCGUUGAUCUGAGAACGAACGACAGAGAUCCAACUAACGCGAAGGGGUAAGUUACUUCUAAUCUACACCGAUCACACGAGAUCUAAAGGUAGAGGGGCAAGCUACCUCGGCUCUGGCUCGGUAAGAUGGCGGAGGACGGCCGAAGAAGGGCGGCGACGACGCUGCGAUGCUCGGGAGUCGACGGAGAACGGCAGAGCACGACCGGAAGGUGACGGAGAGCUCGUUUGAUGGAUCGCAGCACGUCGGGGAAGGCUGGAGCUGCUUGGCGACGACGGGCUUCAACGGCGUACGUUCAACGAUGAUGGAAGCUCGGUGCGGUGGCCAAAAGUCGACGGCGAGGUGUCGAGGAUGAUGAGAUGCGGUCUACAAACACAAGCGCGCACUCAGGAGGCGUCGGGGAAGCUUGGAGCGGCUCGGCGACGGUGAGGUGGCUGGGCGAAGCUUCGGCGGCGGCACGAGACCUCACGGGUGAGGGGAAAAUCGAGGGAACUUGGGGGUUUGGGUGCGAUGCGAUGCGAUGCAAGGAGGCUCGACCAAGGAUGGGAUUUGGAUUUAUAGAGGAAGGAGGCGGGAUUGAGCUGUCCGACGGGGAAUAAUGACAGCAGCGAGGAAUUCGACUCCGUUUCCUUUUCUCUUGUGCUAUUUCAUCGCGAUUUGAUCCUAGUGUGAUGGCCUUCUUCAUUGCAGCGACUGAUACUAGAGGAAUCGUGGCCUCCAUCCUUUACUCACGCGCGAAUUCAUCGGGAUUGAAUCGGCAGCUGGCGCGGGAGAAAAGGAAGGAAAGGAUUCGGUGGAAAGUGGAAGGAGAUGACCAACAGGACCCAUAAGGCAGAGAGAGAACAGAAAGAGAGACCAGAGGGAGGGAGAAACGGGCGUGAUAGGUUUCGUGUGGCUUGAAGAGCCUCCUGUUGACAAAGGAUCAAAGGAACUCAACCAUACUGUAAAAUUUACUAUUCCACAGUAAAUCCGCUGAUUGUAUGUUUUUCUGUAUUCUCUGAAUAUAACUAUGGUACUAGAUUUUUUUUUUCUGUAACUGCAUCAGCUCCAUGCUUAUUAUGACAUGUUGUAACUGUUGGAUAUAAGUUCUCUAUUAGGAUGUGAGUAUGAAGUGGUACUCUCUCUCUCUCUCUCUCCUGCAGAUUUUCAGCAUUCUUCAGCCUUUCUUGUGCAAUGCACUACAUGUAGAAAAAUAGGAUAUAAGUUUCCUUCCUCUUGCUUAUUUCUGUAUGUAAAUAGAUGAAGGUGCCUAUGGUAGCGUGCAGAGGAAUAUUCUUAUCUUUCUGUUAUGGCGAGAUGAUAUAUUUACCAUUUCGGUUUUAAGUUAUUCAUAAUUUGAUAUGCCGCGCUACAAUGUACCAUCAUAGCAGUUAUAUCCCUUUUUUAAAGUAUUAUGUCUUUAUCACAUCUGAGAAUAUUUAUCUCUGAACUUACCGUUUAUUCACUAUUUUCUUAUGGUAGAAAUUCAUUAAUGUUUCGAACAGAUUCCCUCAGGCCAUGACAUGGGAAAAAAAUAAUGGUCAAAUUAAGUCUAAAAUAGUGAUAAUAAACUGCAACUAGAGCAUAAGUUGCAUCAGCAAAUCAGAAAGUGGUCUAAUGUUAGCGCCAGUCAAAAACUUGACAUUUAUUUAGUGGUCUAAUGCAAAAGAGCCAAUUAAGCUUCUCACAUGUGUACAAGCCCCAAGAGUAAGCUGAGAAAAAAACAAUAAAUUGUUGCUUGAAUUUAGUAGUGAGGAUGGCAAAAUAAUUUCCUUGUGAUGCAAAAUAAAACCAGUACUUUGCAUUUGACUAGUCCACUCAAGUGCAAACCUAAGUGUGUGAAUGUUUGAGUGAGGAAACAAAAAGUGAGCGAAUGCUGUAUUAGUUCCAAGCGUGAAUUAGUGAUUUAAAAAAAACAAAUUGGGGUGGGGGGAUUUAGUUUUACUUUGUUAUGGUUUCCACAAUUAAAAUUUCAUAUCGUUGUAAAGUUACAAAUAGUAAUUACAGAUUGGCACACUGUGGCUAGGUAUAGUUUGAGAUCUGCUGUGAAUUCCUUUCAAAUGUUUCUUUUCUAAUGGCACACCACAGUAUAUAUUGCGACCAUUAAAUCUUGUGAAUUCUUUAGACCAAAUCAUCAUUGGAAACAGAGAUAUGCGGUAUCAUAUGGAAUAAUGGCAUCCAGAUGAACAAUGGAACUGCUUAUACAGAAUUAUUAGUUCAUUGCCAUUGCAAUAAUCAAAAUACAGUAAACAUUCAUUGCUACAAUUACCAUCUUUAUUGAGUUUGAAUUUUGAAUUCUUUUGCAGAAAAUGUUACCAGUUUAGACCAAUAUCAGAUUAAUUGUCCAUAAUGCUUUCUAGCUUCUAUUGUGUGUGCAAGAUUUUUUAUGUUUGGUCAUUGUGUAUUAUAUUUAUAUAUAUAUUAUAUGGUAGCAAAUUUUAUUUGUAGGGAUGGGCAAGUUUUGUUUGAUCAAGCAAACAAACUCACGCUACCAGAGUACUUGUUGACACAACUUAUGGACAAAUGACUUGAUUAAAUGUCUUUCUUUGCCAGUAUGUUCGUGCAUAUUUUUGGUAAUUGUCCGCACCAUAUUUUCAUAGGAAAAUUUCUUGUAUGCCACUAAUUUAGCUGCAUUUCGAAGAUUCGCAAUUAUGGCCCACAUGUCAUUGACGCAUGUGGCCCUAUGUGUCAGUGAGAGAGGGGUCACAUUUUGUCGAAACGAGUCUAAAUUAGUGGCAACUGGGCAAAUCCCCUUAUUUUCACAUCGCUGUGUAUGAUAAUUUCUUUCUCAUAUGGAAGGGAUAGACUUUGAUUGUUCUUUGUCAGGAACAAAUGUUAGCCAAAUACGACACUGAAGUUUGUCCAUUAGAAACCUUGGACGAGCUGGCUUGUAAAUUUUAGAAAAUCUUCAAACUUGGUAUACUUUCGUGUUUUCUGAUAGCACACUAUUGAAGAUGCCAAAAUUUCUUUAGGCACUACAUCGAGAUCCACAGCAUUUCCUAAGGAAGCUAAAUGAAUUUUAUAUGGUCAUUCAUGGAUUUACAGCCUUGAUUAAUAAAUCAAGCCGUUCAAUAGCUGUUUGCUCAGAAUUAUUAGUUGGCUUUGGCACUGUCUCUUAGCCUAUGUAUCAGGGCCAAGUACGCAAAGGACAAUGUUUCUAUCUACCUUAUGCUUACUGUUUUUUUUUCUAUCGAAGUAAAUGAACUUAUCCAAAGAUCUGAAGGGAUAACAAUGUGAAGUAUAAAUCAUCAAGCUUGCAAUAUUGUUGUAUUGCUAUGGACAAGCCAGUUAUUUGUACUCAGCAAUUAUGGCUUUUAUCCUAGGGAUGGUUUUGUUUACUUCCUUUGUCCAUUUGGUUAAUUGUCCUCAGCAAUUCCAAGAUGGUCAUUUCAAUAUCUAUGCUGAUGGUUGAAUAAUGCAUAUUGCCCUUGGUAUAUUGCAAUAUUUCGCAACAUUAAUGAAUCAACACUGUUUGCAUGUUUGUUGUUCCAAAUUUGUUUCUUUUUAAUGAAGCUUUAUGCUUAUGAUCAACUUGUAACCACAAUUUUGGAAUGUUUUGUGGUGUAUGAGGCUCUCUGUAUUGGUUAUUAAUUUUGGCAAAUUAUUCUUUGGAAACCUUA